rnacentral:rRNA from 1 species
GACGAACGCUGGCGGCGUGCCUAACACAUGCAAGUCGAGCGCUCGCAAGAGCGCGGCGAACGGGUGAGUAACGCGUAGGAAUCUGCCUCGAACAGGGAAAUACCCCCGCGAAAGCGGGGCUAAUGUCCCAUAAUCCCGCAAGGGAAAAGGUGCAAACCGGUUUGAGAGGAGCCUGCGUCCUAUCAGCUUGUUGGUGGGGUAAAAGCCUACCAAGGCGACGACGGGUAGCUGAUCUGAGAGGAUGAUCAGCCACAAUGGGACUGAGACACGGCCCAUACAUCUACGGAUGGCAGCAGUUGGGAAUAUUGCGCAAUGGGCGAAAGCUUGACGCAGCGACGCCGCGUGAAUGAUGAAGGUCUUAGGAUUGUAAAAUUCUUUUACCAGGGACGAUAAUGACGGUACCUGGAGAAAAAGCCCCGGCUAACUUCGUGCCAGCCGCCGCAGUAA